GCCAGACUCCUACGGGAGGCAGCAGUGGGGAAUAUUGCACAAUGGGGGAAACCCUGAUGCAGCGACGCCGCGUGAGCGAUGAAGUAUUUCGGUAUGUAAAGCUCUAUCAGCAGGGAAGAAAAUGACGGUACCUGACUAAGAAGCCCCGGCUAACUACGUGCCAGCAGCCGCGGUAAUACGUAGGGGGCAAGCGUUAUCCGGAUUUACUGGGUGUAAAGGGAGCGUAGACGGCUGUGCAAGCCAGGGGUGAAAGCCCGGGGCCCAACCCCGGGACUGCCCUUGGAACUGCUUGGCUGGAGUGCGGGAGGGGCAGGCGGAAUCCCUGGUGUAGCGGUGAAAUGCGUAGAUAUCAGGAGGAACACCGGUGGCGAAGGCGGCCUGCUGGACUGCGACUGACGUUGAGGCCCGAAAGCGUGGGGAGCAAACAGGAUUAGAUACCCCAGUA
rnacentral:rRNA from 1 species